ACACUUAUGUUGAUCAAACUUGUGAAUCUGGUCGAGUAUGUGGUCAUUACACACAAGUGGUAUGGGCCGAUACUUACAGGAUAGGUUGUGCCGCUGUAUUCUGUGCAGACUCAAGCCCAUUCCACCACAAAACCAUUGUUUCUUGCAACUACGGGCCAGCUGGAAACAUCAUCAAUGCAACAACUACGAGAACUGGAACACCAUUUCAAAGUGAUGGAGCUGUUUGUUCUGCCUGCGAUGUGGCCGACAGUUGUAAUAAUGGACUUUGCUCGAGUGCAACAAGAGACGUGUCUGAUACUGCUGUUGAUGACUGUGCAUCAAAUGGAUGUCUUAAUGGCGGAACCUGCACAAAUGGGACGAAUUCCUAUUCUUGUGCAUGUGUUAAUGGGUAUACAGGAACUAACUGCGCAACAAGUAAAUUAAUUUUUCAUUUUCCAUUUCAACUGUUUAUUAAGCAGUGUAUUAAACCUUUUUUUUGCAGACAUAGACGACUGUGCCUCAACGCCUUGUCUUAAUGGUGGGACCUGCACAGAUGGGGUGGCUAGUUUCACUUGUGCAUGUGUUAAUGGGUAUACAGGAGCUGACUGUUCAACAAACAUAGACGACUGUGCCUCAACGCCUUGUCUUAAUGGUGGGACCUGCACAGAUGGGGUGGCUAGUUUCACUUGUGCAUGUGUUAAUGGGUAUACAGGAGCUGACUGU